AACUAUAGUAGCGGCACGCUAUGAUGGCCGUUUUGACGUUUGCCCGCUCAUGAAGUUUCGUAUUUAAUAAAUAAUUACAUCAAAGGAGCAAAUUGUUGUUCUUUAUUGUCAAUAGUGACGUGCAGUUAGUCAUAAAAUUUAUCGAAUGUUGUAAAUAGAACUAUUAAAUUAAUAAAGGACGAUUAUGAAAUAAAUGUGAAAAUAGAUAAUAUUUUAGAAAAUGAACUUAUAAUUAAUGUGAGUGACGAUAGCAGUGAGAGUGAAAGCAGCAGUAUGGACGACUCCGAUUAAAUAUAGCCACUAGUGUUUUUGGUUUCUUUUUUUGUAUCAAUUUAUUUCUUGUAUGUAAUGUGUUUAUAAAGUUAUUCAUUCUAA